AACGCGAAGAACCUUACCAAGGUUUGACAUGCAGGGAAAAGCCGUAGAGAUAUGGUGUCCGUAAGGGUCCUGCACAGGUGGUGCAUGGCUGUCGUCAGCUCGUGUCGUGAGAUGUUGGGUUAAGUCCCGCAACGAGCGCAACCCUCGUCCUAUGUUGCCAGCGGGUAAUGCCGGGGACUCAUAGGAGACUGCCGGGGUCAACUCGGAGGAAGGUGGGGAUGACGUCAAGUCCUCAUGCCCCUUAUGUCUUGGGCUGCAAACAUGCUACAAUGGCCAGUACAAAGGGUUGCAAGACCGCAAGGUGGAGCGAAUCCCAAAAAGCUGGUCUCAGUUCGGAUUGGGGUCUGCAACUCGACCCCAUGAAGUCGGAGUCGCUAGUAAUCGCAGAUCAGCAACGCUGCGGUGAAUACGUUCCCGGGCCUUGUA
rnacentral:rRNA from 1 species